rnacentral:rRNA from 1 species
UACGUAGGGUGCAAGCGUUAUUCGGAAUUACUGGGCGUAAAGCGUGCGCAGGCGGUUUUGCAAGACCGAUGUGAAAUCCCCGGGCUUAACCUGGGAACUGCAUUUGGGACUGCAAGGCUUGAGUACGGCAGAGGGGGGUAGAAUUCCUGGUGUAGCAGUGAAAUGCGUAGAUAUCAGGAGGAAUACCGAUGGCGAAGGCAGCCCCCUGGGUCGAUACUGACGCUCAUGCACGAAAGCGUGGGGAGCAAACAGG